rnacentral:rRNA from 1 species
GACUCUCGGCAACGGAUAUCUCGGCUCUCGCAUCGAUGAAGAACGUAGCGAAAUGCGAUACCUGGUGUGAAUUGCAGAAUCCCGCGAACCAUCGAGUCUUUGAACGCAAGUUGCGCCCGAGGCCAUCCGGUCGAGGGCACGCCUGCCUGGGCGUCACGCCAAAAG